rnacentral:lncRNA from 1 species
UUGUCUUUAUUUUUUAUUACUCAGGCUUAUCUUCUUCCUCCCUUAGCUAAAAUUCAUCAUCUCCGUCAAAUCCUAGAUCAAUUACUCGCAAUUGAAGCUUCGUUGAUGUGCUGUGAACCUAUUUUACUACUCAUCUGCACAAAUCCACAGAGGUACUAGCUGAAUCGAGGAGGGGAAGAGAAGGAAACAAUUGUGCCAGCC